rnacentral:rRNA from 1 species
CCUACGGGAGGCAGCAGUGGGGAAUUUUGGACAAUGGGGGCAACCCUGAUCCAGCCAUGCCGCGUGAGUGAAGAAGGCCUUCGGGUUGUAAAGCUCUUUCGGCCGGAACGAAAUCGCGCACGUGAAUAACGUGCGUGGAUGACGGUACCGGAGUAAGAAGCACCGGCUAACUACGUGCCAGCAGCCGCGGUAAUACGUAGGGUGCGAGCGUUAAUCGGAAUUACUGGGCGUAAAGCGUGCGCAGGCGGUUCGCUAAGUCAGACGUGAAAGCCCCGGGCUUAACCUGGGAACGGCGUUUGAAACUGGCGGGCUCGAGUACGGCAGAGGGGGGUGGAAUUCCACGUGUAGCAGUGAAAUGCGUAGAUAUGUGGAGGAACACCGAUGGCGAAGGCAGCCCCCUGGGCCGAUACUGACGCUCAUGCACGAAAGCGUGGGGAGCAAGCAGGAUUAGAUACCCUGGUAGUCCACGCCCUAAACUAUGUCAACUAGUUGUCGGGGAAGCAAUUCCUGGUAACGCAGCUAACGCGUGAAGUUGACCGCCUGGGGAGUACGUCGCGAGAUAACUACAAGAAGUAGACGCGUGAGACGUGCGACGGACGACGACGAGGGAGAGG